rnacentral:snRNA from 1 species
GUAUACAAAAAAUAAAAGUGGAACAAUAUAGAGAAGAUUAGCAUGGCCCCUGCGCAAGGAUGACUCGCAAAUUCAUGAAGCGUUCUAUAUUAAA